rnacentral:misc_RNA from 1 species
CCGAGAUGGGGUUCUUUUGAGCCCGACCUCCCCAACCCUUUGCUUAAACCACAUUGUUGCUUUGGCAGGCCCGUCGUUGGACCGCUGGGGACGUUGAGUCGUCUCUGGCCAGUGCCGGCCAACAGCCAAUUUCAAAAUUCUUUUAAACCGUGUCGUCUGAAAAAUCAUAAACAAAUUUAAUUA